rnacentral:rRNA from 1 species
UGAGGAAUAUUGGUCAAUGGACGCAAGUCUGAACCAGCCAAGUAGCGUGCAGGAUGACGGCCCUAUGGGUUGUAAACUGCUUUUAUAUGGGGAUAAAGUGGGGAACGUGUUCCCUUUUGCAGGUACCAUAUGAAUAAGGACCGGCUAAUUCCGUGCCAGCAGCCGCGGUGAUACGGAAGGUUCGGGCGUUAUCCGGAUUUAUUGGGUUUAAAGGGAGCGUAGGCCGUUUGGUAAGCGUGUUGUGAAAUGUAGGAGCUCAACUUCUAGAUUGCAGCGCGAACUGUCAGACUUGAGUGCGCACAACGUAGGCGGAAUUCAUGGUGUAGCGGUGAAAUGCUUAGAUAUCAUGAAGAACUCCGAUUGCGAAGGCAGCUUACGGGAGCGCAACUGACGCUGAAGCUCGAAGGUGCGGGUAUCGAACAGG